rnacentral:rRNA from 1 species
UACGUAGGGGGCUAGCGUUGUCCGGAAUCAUUGGGCGUAAAGCGCGUGUAGGCGGCCCGAUAAGUCCGCUGUGAAAGUCCAGGGCUCAACCCUUGAAUGCCGGCCGAAACUGCCGGGCUAGAGUCCGGAAGAGGUGAGUGGAAUUCCUGGUGUAGCGGUGAAAUGCGCAGAUAUCAGGAGGAACACCGGAGCGAAGGCGGCUCUGGGCGAACUGACUGCGU